GGAGGGAUUUUCCUCGAAUAGCAAUAAUCAAACCAGCAAGUUCCUGAAAGCCCUAAAACCCACGCCUGCUUCUUCUUUUUCUUCUUCUUCUUCUUCCUACUACUUCCCGCAUUUCCUUUCUUCGCAUACCAAAUUUACAAAAUAUUCCAUUUCUCUCCACACAAACCCGAAGACCAAGAGAAGGAGCUGAGGAAGAUGUCUCUGCGAGUAUUGAACCCUAACGCCGAGGUUCUGAACAAAUCGGCGGCGCUUCAUAUGAACAUCAACGCUGCCAAGGGCUUGCAGGAUGUUCUCAAAACCAACCUCGGCCCCAAAGGGACCAUCAAGAUGCUUGUUGGUGGAGCUGGAGAUAUCAAGCUCACUAAGGAUGGUAACACUCUCUUGAAAGAAAUGCAAAUUCAAAACCCAACAGCAAUUAUGAUUGCAAGGACAGCUGUUGCCCAAGAUGACAUAAGUGGAGAUGGUACUACUUCUACUGUGAUCUUUAUUGGAGAGCUUCUGAAACAGUCUGAACGUUACAUUGAUGAAGGUAUGCAUCCACGUGUUUUGGUUGAUGGUUUUGAGGUUGCCAAAAAAGCUACACUCCAGUUUCUUGAAAAAUUUAAGACUCCUGUGGUUAUUGGUGAUGAACCUGACAAAGAGAUUCUAAAGAUGGUAGCAAGAACAACACUAAGAACCAAGUUGUAUGAAGCUUUGGCAGAUCAAUUAACUGACAUAGUUGUUAAUGCGGUGCUUUGUAUUAGUAAGCCUGAGGAAGCUAUAGAUUUAUUCAUGGUGGAGAUCAUGCACAUGCGUCAUAAAUUUGAUGUUGACACAAGGCUGGUUGAAGGUCUUGUCCUUGAUCAUGGUUCUAGGCAUCCUGACAUGAAGCGACGAGCAGAGAACUGUUAUAUCUUGACUUGCAAUGUGUCUUUAGAAUAUGAGAAAAGUGAAAUAAAUGCAGGAUUUUUCUACUCAAAUGCAGAGCAAAGGGAGGCAAUGGUUGCAGCUGAAAGGCGUCAGGUUGAUGAAAGAGUGAAAAAAAUCAUUGAACUUAAAAACAAGGUUUGUUCUGGUAAUGACAACAAUUUUGUUGUUAUUAAUCAGAAGGGUAUUGAUCCCCCAUCUCUGGACCUUCUUGCUCGCGCUGGGAUAAUUGCCCUUCGAAGAGCCAAGAGAAGAAAUAUGGAACGACUGGUUUUGGCUUGUGGUGGUGAAGCGGUGAAUUCUGUUGAUGAUUUAACCCCUGAUUGCCUUGGUUGGGCUGGAUUGUUUUAUGAGCACAUCCUUGGUGAAGAGAAAUAUACAUUUGU
rnacentral:misc_RNA from 1 species